rnacentral:rRNA from 1 species
CAGUCGCCACGGUAAUACAGAGGGUGCGAGCGUUAAUCGGAUUUACUGGGCGUAAAGCGUGCGUAGGCGGCUUCUUAAGUCGGAUGUGAAAUCCCUGAGCUUAACUUAGGAAUUGCAUUCGAUACUGGGAAGCUAGAGUAUGGGAGAGGAUGGUAGAAUUCCAGGUGUAGCGGUGAAAUGCGUAGAGAUCUGGAGGAAUACCGAUGGCGAAGGCAGCCAUCUGGCCUAAUACUGACGCUGAGGUACGAAAGCAUGGGGAGCAAACAGGAUUAGAGACCCGAGUAGUCCCUGUCUCUUAUAA